rnacentral:lncRNA from 1 species
CUAGUCAAAUAGCUUGUCAAAUAGCUAGUCAAAUAGCUUGUCAAAUAGAUAGUCAAAUAGCUAUCACUUAUUUAUUCCUUGAAUAUAUUAUUAGAAUUCCGAAUAUUAGAACUAUUAUUAAUAAUCCACACUUCACUUGGAAUUCACUACUUUAAUCCAAAGAACAAAUUAUACUCACUAUUCACACUAUAUAGAAAUUAAUUGUAACCGCUCAGAAUGGCAUAUACAUCGACACUGAACUGAUUUCUGUGCGGUCUUAUAUACUACCUAAAUGGACGAGUCCAAGUCCCAAUUUAAGGGUUGUCAAGAAGGUUUACUUAUCACAUGACUUAACAAGUCUAUUAUCAAUAAAAGGGGUGUUUCAGUACUUAACAAAGUGUGCUCCUUAUUUAGGAGGAA